UGUAGGUAAUACAUGAUACUUAUGGGGUGUUAGCCUUCAUAAGUGGAGGAAUAGAGUUUAAGUGUCGCGAGGUAAUGAUGCAGCUCUAUAAAACUCCAGUUCGGCCACACUUCGAGUACCGUGUCCAGUUCUGGUCGCCUCACUAUAGGAAGGAUGUGGAAGCAUUGGAAUGGGUACAGAGGAGAUUUACCAGGUUGGUGCCUGAUUUAGAUAGUAUGGGUUAUGAUCAGAGAUUAAGGGAGCUUGGGCUUUACUCUUUGAAAGAAGGAAGAUGAGAGGAGACAUGACAGAGAUGUACAAGAUAUUAAGAGGAAUAGACAGAGUGGACAGCCAGCGCCUCUACCCCAGGGCACCACUGCUCAGUAUAAGAGGACAUGGUAAGGGGAGGAAAGUUCAAGGGGGAUAUUAGAGGAAGGUUUUUCACUCAGAGAGUGGUUGGUGCGUGGAAUGCACUGCCCGAGUCAGUGGUGGAGGCAGAUACACCAGUGAAAUUGAAGAGACUACUAGACGGGUAUAUGGAGGAAUUUAAGGUGGGAGGCUAUAUGGGAGGCAGGGUUUGAGGGUCACCACAACAUUGUGGGCCGAAGGGCCUGUAAUGUGCUGUACUAUUCUAUGUUUUAUAAUCAAUACAUUAUUUCAGAUAGGACAAUCCAUACGAACCAUUCGGAUAUAAUAUUACAGGAUUAAUAAGCAGGAACAACUCCCCCAAUAGAUAAAACCAUUCCAAACACAUACGUUCCUCAACCAGUGGAGCACCUCACCACAGGCAUUGUUUGUGUCAUCAGUCAGACAACCGAAAGAUUUUCUCUAUCAAUCAGCUUCCAAAUGUUGUUGACACGCCCCGCUGCUGAUUCCCUUCUCCUUAUCAUACGUUCUUACCCCGACCGUCGUCCAGAGCCCCAAACUCUGCCCUGUGCAGACCCGCCUCUGGUUUCUGACCCUGCUCCGUUGAACAUCCAAACAAUGGUUUCGCAUUCUGCUUUCAGUCUUUAGAGGACAGUGUGUUUUCAACAACACUUUAGAAGCAGGGGAAAUGACCCAUAAUGUGGAAAUGAGUCAUGAAUAAGGAGGGUAACUCCCAAAUUCAUUCUUCCUCAGCUCAGAGAUUUCAGGGGUAAAGAACAUCUCAGACAGAACUGCAGUCAGCUCAAUUUCUUCAGUCUGCAGAAAAUUCAGGGAAACCACUUCACCCACAGGAUGGUGACUGUUUGGAACCCAUCACCACAGGGAGAGCAAGAGGUGAACAACAGGGGAGGACUUAAAAGGACUGUCCUGGAACAGAAUCACAGGCAGGGUCCAGCCGGCAUGAGUUGACCCUCCACUGUGCACAAGGAUCCCAAUACAGGGAGUGCCAAGCAGACGGGCUGAGUAAGCGGCUGGACCACUCUGGGGACUGCAGAGACUGACCAGGUGCCCAAUAGAGAACCACGAAACAAAGAAAACGUGAAAGUCGUUCAGAGAAAAAAAAAAUGAAACUACCUCCCCACCCCCCGCAUCAAAAAGGACGGCAUCCCAAUCAUCAACCCCCAAAAUCCACCCCUCCCGCACAAAAGGGAAGAAAAAUAUCGACACCCGAAAAUAAACACCCCUACCCCGCACAACUGCGGAGGAGCCGGUGUCACCAGUGUAGAGGCGGCCGCAUCGGGAGCAGCGGACACAACGGGCGACCCCGGAGGAUUCACAGGUGAAAUGUCGCCUCACCUGGAAGGAUGUUUGGACAACGGAGAGAGAUCGGCCGUCCGGCCCUUGCACUGUGACACCCGGAACUCCACAUCAAAUCCGUCCAAACGAAUCUGGGUGAUCUUUAAUGACCAAUAAAUAUAUUUCCUCUCAGCGAUCAGCUGUCUGAAUGAUCCCCUGACUCUGAGAGGAAGGGGUAUCUAUGGUCCACACUGUCAGGGUGUUGAGUUUACCAGGAGACAAAGACUGCAGGGACGGGAGGUUCUCUGUUGACUAAUACACUGUGUGUGGACCACACUGGCAAUUCUGGUGUUGUGACCCGAAUCGAGACAAACAUCACGCUGCCCACUCCACCAACAACACGGCACACCCGGACACCUAACAGGGGAUCUUACAUCUCACCACACUGGAUUCAGUGAUGAAACCCGUGAUUAAUGUUGUUGUCUCACCGAAAAGCCCAUUAACCCUAACCCUGCAAUAUGGUGUAAAAUCCCGCUCCCCAUACUAACACGGGUUAUACAGAGCAAACAACAAACUGCCGGAGGAACUCAGUGGG